AGUUUGAGGCAAUAACAGGUCUGUGAUGCCCCUUAGAUGUUCUGGGCCGCACGCGCGCUACACUGACGGAGCCAGCGAGUACUCCCUUGGCCGGAAGGCCCGGGUAAUCUUGUUAAACUUCGUCGUGCUGGGGAUAGAGCAUUGCAAUUAUUGCUCUUCAACGAGGAAUCCCUAGUAAGCGCAAGUCAUCAGCUUGCGUUGACUACGUCCCUGCCCUUUGUACACACCGCCCGUCGCUACUACCGAUUGAAUGGCUCAGUGAGGCGUCCGGACUGGCCCAGAGAGGUGGGCAACCACCACUCAGGGCCGGAAAGCUCUCCAAACUCGGUCAUUUAGAGGAAGUAAAAGUCGUAACAAGGUCUCCGUUGGUGAACCAGCGGAGGGAUCAUUACCGAGUUGCCCCAACUCCCAAACCCCGUGCGAACCGUACCACACGCGUUGCCUCGGCGGGACCGCCCCGGCGCCCACGGCGGCCCGGACCAAGGCGCCCGCCGGAGGACCCCCCAGACUCUCCUGUCGCAGCGGCAUUGCUCUCCGAGUCCAGGCGAAAUAGCAAAUGAAUCAAAACUUUCAACAACGGAUCUCUUGGCUCUGGCAUCGAUGAAGAACGCAGCGAAAUGCGAUAAGUAAUGUGAAUUGCAGAAUUCAGUGAAUCAUCGAAUCUUUGAACGCACAUUGCGCCCGCCAGCACUCUGGCGGGCAUGCCUGUCCGAGCGUCAUUUCACCCCUCGAGCCCGGCUCGGUGUUGGGGGCCAGGCGGCCGCGCGCCGCCCCCCCGAAAUGCAGUGGCGACCCCGCCGCGUCCUCCCCUGCGCAGUAGCUCCCCAGAGAACCUCGCACCGGAAGCGCGGAGGCGGUCACGCCGUAAAAGAAAAGGGCGCGAAGCCCUCCCCCCCAAUGAGU
rnacentral:rRNA from 1 species